GAGUAGCUGGGACUACAGGCGCCCGCCAUGAUGCCCGGCUAAUUUUUUGUAUUUUUAGCAGAGACGGGGUUUCACCCUGUUAGCCAGGAUGGUCUCAUCUCCUGACCUCGUGAUCCGCCCGCCUAGGCCUCCCAAAGUGCUGGGAUUACAGGCGUGAGCCACCGCGCCCGGCCUAAUAAAGGACAAUUUUUAAUAGCCACUGGACUAUUUAAGUGAUCUCUUCUGUCAGUUUCUUUUACCAUCAGAGGACACAGCAGCAAGGUGCCAUCCUAGAAGCAGAGAGCAGACCCUUACCAGACAACCAACCAGCUGGUGCCAUGAUCUUGGACUUCUCGGCCUCCAGAACUGCACUUAAACACGCAGCAUGAGGAAAAUGGAACAACAAUCUUGAGGUGCCUUCUGAAUCAUCAGAUUAAAUUAUGCUUCCAACACCACACCCUCCUGAUCACCAUAGCUUUAUGGUAAGACACCCCUACUCUGUCCAGACCCAACUGUCAACAGAAGCCAAAGCCAUCUGGAGGAGCAUGCAACAACAAGAAACAAAUUUAUUAGCUAACCUAACCACUAAUGACGCAAGAGACAAUUCUAAGGACUUUCAAAACAGCAAAGUAGGAGCAGCUGCUACCUCUAGGGAUGAGGGAUGCAAUUGUCCAAUUAUUGGUGAAAUUGUCAUUUCAUGCUAUUGGCUAUUUGAAAUUCCUCCUCUAAUUUCAGAAUAAAUCACUGAAAUUGACAUCGGCCAGUCUGAAUUUCAAGAAAUUACCUGCUGAAGACAAGAGGGAUCUCUUCUUCAGAUUUGCAGUCUGGGGAAGACACAGCCUCUACUGUACUUUAGAACCUGAGAUAUGGUGGUGGAGGGAGCCCUGGGUCGAGUGGUAAGAUUCACCCUUAGGUUAGUAUUGACGUAAGGUGACGAGGAGCUGUAGACAAAAGAUUGUAACCAUAAGAACUUCAUAGUUUUUGUAUUUUCACCGAGCU
rnacentral:lncRNA from 1 species